rnacentral:rRNA from 1 species
UACGGAGGGUGCGAGCGUUGUCCGGAAUCACUGGGCGUAAAGGGCGCGUAGGCGGCGCGGGCAGUCAACGGUGAAAGCUCGGAGCUCAACUCCGAGUCGGCCGUCGAUACUCCCGUGCUUGAGCACUGUAGAGGCAGGUGGAAUUCCGGGUGUAGCGGUGGAAUGCGUAGAGAUCCGGAAGAACACCGGUGGCGAAGGCAGCCUGCUGGGCAGUAGCUGACGCUGAGGCGCGACAGCGUGGGGAGCAAACAGG